rnacentral:rRNA from 1 species
GAUGAACGCUGGCGGCGUGCCUAACACAUGCAAGUCGAGCGGCAGCGCGGGGUGCUUGCACCCUGUCGGCGAGCGGCGGGCGGCUGAGUAACGCGUGGGAACGUGCCUCAACGUGAGGAAUAACUGCCGGAAAGGGUAGCUAAUACCGCAUGGUAUCUUCGGAUCAAAGGAGUUAUCCGCGUUGGGCGCGGGUCGCGUCGGCUUAGGUGGUUGGUGAGGUAGUGGCUCAGCAAGGCGACGACCCGUACCUGGUCUGGGAGGAUGACCCGCCAGGCCUGAGCUGCGACACGGUCCCGACUCCUACGGGAGGGUGCAGAGAAGUAUCCACCACAAUGGGGCAAGGUCUGACGGCGCCACGCCGGGUGCAGCACGAAGCCGGUCGGGAUCUGCACUCGUUUUAUAAGUGGCGAAUAUGACGGUAACUGAUGAAUAAGCACCGGCUAACUACGUG